rnacentral:rRNA from 1 species
AUUGAACGUUGGCGGCAUGCCUUACACAUGCAAGUCGAACGGCAGCACGGGUGCUUGCACCUGGUGGCGAGUGGCGAACGGGUGAGUAAUACAUCGGAACGUACCUUAUCGUGGGGGAUAACGCAGCGAAAGCUGUGCUAAUACCGCAUACGCCCUGCGGGGGAAAGCGGGGGAUCGAAAGACCUCGCGCGAUUAGAGCGGCCGAUGCCUGAUUAGCUUGUUGGUGGGGUAAAAGCCCACCAAGGCGACGAUCAGUAGCUGGUCUGAGAGGACGAUCAGCCACACUGGGACUGAGACACGGCCCAGACUCCUACGGGAGGCAGCAGUGGGGAAUUUUGGACAAUGGGAGCAACCCUGAUCCAGCAAUGCCGCGUGAGUGAAGAAGGCCUUCGGGUUGUAAAGCUCUUUUGUCAGGGAAGAAACACCGGCUCUAACACAGUCCGGGAAUGACGGUACCUGAAGAAUAAGCACCGGCUAACUACGUGCCAGCCGCCGCAGUAA